rnacentral:piRNA from 1 species
UGAAUCGUUGAACCAAUUUUA